UUUCAGAAAGAUUGUCUACAAAAUGGGCUCAAAUUACGCGUGAAGAAGGCCAAGUUAAUCACCUUCGAUAAAGUCGUUACUAAAGGUAUGUUAAGGCUAUCCCUUCUUUCUUUUGGCAUGACCGAAACAAUGAUACGUAAAUAUAAUGUUAUUCCAUAAGUGGUUCUACUCUUAGCAGUUAAGGAUGUUUAUGUUAUUUAUUCAUGUAAAUGAUAUUCAAGCAUGUCUAAGUAUGUUCCUAGUUCCUUCUUGAGGUAUUUGAUAAAGAUAUUAAUGUUCAUAAUUAUUUGUCAACUGCUAUACUAUGUCCACAAAAAGAAUAGUCUUUAGCUAUUAUUAUUUGUUUGUUGGUUUCCAAAGAUAGUUUCAGCUAGUAAUACGUUCUUGCAAGACUAUUUUGCCUUUCAGUGACUUUCAUAAGCAAUUGACUUAAGGAAAGAAGAUAUAUCUCCCGAGUUAAUUAUCUAUAAAAAAUGGGUUGUAUAUCCUUAGUUGUAAAAUUUAGGAUAGACUAUUGAAGGGCUUAGCUUUGUAGUUCUGGAGAUAUUCUGCAAUGUGAGAUUGAAGGCUUAUUCCAAGUUAAUUUUUAUAUGUCUCUAUUAAUGUUUAUAAUAUAGUGAUACAUGCAUCUUUAUGCAUAUGCAUUUACCACCGUGCUACAGCCGGUCGGGCAGACAUGCAUUUACCAUCGGGCUACGGCCGGUCGGGCAGUUACCACUGGUUGGGCAGUUAUGUAUCAUUAUUUACCAUCGGUUGGGCAGUCAUACAUUUACCACCAUUCGACGGCCGGUUGGGCAGUUACCACUGAUCAGUUGGGCAGUCAUGCAUAAUACGAAAUAGAUAACAAAAGUAGUCCCAAAGUGAAGCAUUAUAUAUGUAAGUAUAAUAAGUAUGCAUAUACGAUGGCACUUCAGAGGUUCAGGAGAUUCCUAUAUAUCUUUCAUUAAUGUUGACUUAUUAUUAUGUUUCAGUUCUGCCUUACAUACUCAGUACAUUAUCUGUACUGACGUUCUUUUGUUGGGGAUGCUGCAUUCAUGCCUGCAGGUAUAGAUAGUCAGUCUGACAAGCCCUUAUAGUAGACGAGAUUGACAUUCAGUAAAGGAUCAGUAAGACUCCACUUCAUUCGGGGUGUAGCCGAGUCUAUGAGUCAUCGUGUCUGAGUUUUGCUAUAGACUUAUGGGUAUUCUAGUACCCUAUCCCAUUUGAUGUCAAAUAAUCGUAGAGGCUUUGUAGGCAGAGAUUCAGAUUGUACAGUAUGUCAGAGGCCUUGAUGGCCCAUAUGUAUUCAUGUUCUAAGAACGAUAAUCUAUUGAUACAGUAUCGCCCACUUACAGUUAUACAUUACGAGUUGCGGCCAUAUUGGCCCAUAAUAGUUACAAAAGGAAUAAGUUCAGAAUGAUCAUGAGUUACAGAGUGGUUCGCUCGGACCACUAUAGCACCGGGUGCCAGCCACGCUUCCCCAAGUUUGGGGAGUGACAAAGUGGUAUCAGAGCGGGUCGUGUCCUAGGGAGUCUACAAAGUCGUGCCUGGUAGAGUCUCACUUAUGGGUGUGUUGCGCGCCACAUUUAUAUUUGAGAGGUUAUAAGGCAUUUAGCAAAUGUUACCCUUCUUUUAUUUUCAGAUCGUGCCAUAGAGCUGAGCUGUAAGAAGUCAGUAUGAAAUUUACGCCAGGUUUUGUAUCCACUAGAGGUGGAGGUAUUACAGUAGAUCUUUAAGGCGUAAUUUCCACCCAUGUGGAAGGGAGGUUAUUAAGGCGACAGAAGAUAUGAUUCGAGAUUGAAAGUUUAGUAAGGUAAUGGUGAAGAAGAUACGAGAUACUUAAGUGCAAAAGGUUGUGAAUAGUCGAGACUUUAGAUAUAGUUUGGGGUUUAGUUUAAUUUACACAUGAGACUCUAGUGAAAAUUUUGUAAAUAUCUAAGAGUUAACAUUCGAGGACGAAUGUUUUAAAGGGGGGACGGAUAUUACAUCCCGUAUUUUAAUAUUAGGAUGAGUCGUAGUAAUCUAUAUGAGUUCGAAGAGAUUAAGACCAUUCAUGAGAUUAUAGAGGAUUCGUGUCUAGGUUAUUAUAAGACCCCAUAAUUUAACAACCUUGAUACCGUCAUAUACAUUUAAUAUGGUAUUUUGAGUGGAAUAUUUUUUUUNN
rnacentral:lncRNA from 1 species